AGUGAACGCUGGCGGCGUGCUUAACACAUGCAAGUCGAACGAGAGAAGUUGGUGCUUGCACCAACCAAUCUAGUGGCAUACGGGUGAGUAAUACAUGAGAAUCUGCCUUGUAGUAUGGGAUAACUAUUGGAAACAAUAGCUAAUACUGUAUAUUGCCGAGAGGUGAAAGAUUUAUCGCUACAAGAUGAGCUCAUGCAAGAUUAGUUUGUUGGUGGGGUAAAAGCCUACCAAGACUACGAUCUUUAGCUGGUCUGAGAGGAUGAUCAGCCACACUGGAACUGAGACACGGUCCAGACUCCUACGGGAGGCAGCAGUGGGGAAUAUUGGACAAUGGGCGCAAGCCUGAUCCAGCGACGCCGCGUGAGUGAAGAAGGCCUUAGGGUUGUAAAGCUCUUUUAGUAGGGAAGAUAAUGACGGUACCUACAGAAAAAGCCCCGGCUAACUUCG
rnacentral:rRNA from 1 species